rnacentral:rRNA from 1 species
UACGAAGGGUGCAAGCGUUACUCGGAAUUACUGGGCGUAAAGCGUGAGUAGGUGGUUUCUUAAGUCUGCUGUGAAAGCCCCGGGCUCAACCUGGGAAUUGCAGUGGAUACUGGGAAGCUAGAGUGCGGUAGAGGGUAGUGGAGUUCCCGGUGUAGCGGUGAAAUGCGUAGAGAUCGGGAGGAACACCAGUGGCGAAGGCGGCUACCUGGACCAGCACUGACACUGAGUCACGAAAGCGUGGGGAGCAAACAGG